rnacentral:rRNA from 1 species
UACGAGAGGCCCAAACGUUAUUCGGAUUUACUGGGCUUAAAGAGUUCGUAGGCGGCGCAGAAAGUAGGGUGUGAAAGCCCUCGGCUCAACCGAGGAAUUGCGCCCUAAACUACUGUGCUUGAGGAACCUAGAGGUGAGCGGAACUGAUGGUGGAGCGGUGAAAUGCGUUGAUAUCAUCAGGAACACCGGAGGCGAAGGCGGCUCACUGGGGGGUUAUCUGACGCUGAGGAACGAAAGCCAGGGGAGCGAACGGG